rnacentral:rRNA from 1 species
CACUUUCAGUAGGGAGGAAGGUAGUGUAGUUAACACCUGCAUUAUUUGACGUUACCUACAGAAGAAGCACCGGCUAACUACCGUGCCAGCAGCCGCGGUAAUACGGAGGGUGCGAGCGUUAAUCGGAAUUACUGGGCGUAAAGCGCAUGCAGGCGGCCUGUUAAGUCAGAUGUGAAAGACCCGGGGCGUUAACCUCGGAAUUGCAUUUGAAACUGGCAGGCUAGAGUCUUGUAGAGGGGGGGUAGGAAGUUUCAGGUGUAGCGGUGAAAUGCGUAGAGAUCUGAAGGAAUACCAGUGGCGAAGGCGGCCCCCUCGGACAAAGACUGACGCUCAGAUGCGAAAGCGUGGGGAGCAAACAGGAUUAGAUACCCCUGGUAG